AUGUCGGAGAAAAAAGCAGGGGUUUGUAAAAAGUGUUACAGGGUAACAAUAUUGUUUGAAGCAUACAAAGAAGAAGAUGCUUUGAAGUACUCUAAGCAUCCAAAUGUCUCAGAAUAUUGUGUUUUGCAGCAUCCAAGAAGAUUGUGCGAUCAAUAUAUAAUCUUACGCUCUUUUCUGAUACGCCACAUUCACACACAUGCAUCGAUUGUUGAGCUAAAUCUUUUGCUUUCUUAUUCUUAUAAAUCGUAUACAAGCUGCCAGGGAAUAUGCUCGUGA
rnacentral:lncRNA from 1 species